ensembl:snRNA U1 U1 spliceosomal RNA
AUACUUACUUGGCAGGGGCGAUACCAUGAUCACGAAGGUGGUUCACCCAGGGUGAGGCUCUGCCAUUGCUGACCCUUGCGAAUUCCCCAAAUGCGGAAUUCUCGACUGCAUAAUUUCUGGUAGUGGGGGACUGCAUUUGUACUCUGG